GUUAAUGUAGCUUAAUGUUUAAAGCAAGACACUGAAAAUGUCUAGACGGGUACUAACCACCCCAUAAACA
rnacentral:tRNA from 3 species